rnacentral:rRNA from 1 species
UUAGAGUUUGAUCCUGGCUCAGGACGAACGCUGGCGGCGCGCCUAACACAUGCAAGUCGAACGAGAGAUGAGGAGCUUGCUCUUCAAAUCGAGUGGCGAACGGGUGAGUAACGCGUGAGGAACCUGCCUCAAAGAGGGGGACAACAGUUGGAAACGACUGCUAAUACCGCAUAAGCCCACGGCUCGGCAUCGAGCAGAGGGAAAAGGAGCAAUCCGCUUUGAGAUGGCCUCGCGUCCGAUUAGCUAGUUGGUGAGGUAAUGGCCCACCAAGGCGACGAUCGGUAGCCGGACUGAGAGGUUGAACGGCCACAUUGGGACUGAGACACGGCCCAGACUCCUACGGGAGGCAGCAGUGGGGAAUAUUGCACAAUGGGGGAAACCCUGAUGCAGCGACGCCGCGUGGAGGAAGAAGGUCUUCGGAUUGUAAACUCCUGUUGUUGAGGAAGAUAAUGACGGUACUCAACAAGGAAGUGACGGCUAACUACGUGCCAGCAGCCGCGGUAAAACGUAGGUCACAAGCGUUGUCCGGAAUUACUGGGUGUAAAGGGAGCGCAGGCGGGAGAACAAGUUGGAAGUGAAAUCCAUGGGCUCAACCCAUGAACUGCUUUCAAAACUGUUUUUCUUGAGUAGUGCAGAGGUAGGCGGAAUUCCCGGUGUAGCGGUGGAAUGCGUAGAUAUCGGGAGGAACACCAGUGGCGAAGGCGGCCUACUGGGCACCAACUGACGCUGAGGCUCGAAAGUGUGGGUAGCAAACAGGAUUAGAUACCCUGGUAGUCCACACCGUAAACGAUGAUUACUAGGUGUUGGAGGAUUGACCCCUUCAGUGCCGC